CACAUGGAACGGCUUGCAAGGGUGGUCGGCUACCUCUCCGAGAAGGGAGGGAUGCCCAUGGAGGUUAAAGAUGCUUUGACGCUGAUGAUCGGUUUUGGUGCGCUAAUUAUAGCGCUACUGACGCUUGUUAUUGCUAUCAUCGCUGUAAUUAACCAAAAGAAAUAGACCGCCCCUCUACCAGGAUAACGGUCUAUUUCUGAUCUUAUACCCGGAGCCGACCGCCUUUGAAGCGGUCUACUGUGCCAGGAGUCGUGUUGACGCACGGCUC
rnacentral:sRNA from 1 species